rnacentral:rRNA from 1 species
AACGAACGCUGGCGGCAUGCCUAACACAUGCAAGUCGAACGAGACCUUCGGGUCUAGUGGCGCACGGGUGCGUAACGCGGGGGAACCUGCCCUUAGGUUCGGAAUAACUCCCCGAAAGGGGUGCUAAUACCGGAUAAUGUCUUCGGACCAAAGAUUUAUCGCCUUUGGAUGGGCCCGCGUUGGAUUAGCUAGUUGGUAGGGUAAAAGCCUACCAAGGCGACGAUCCAUAGCUGGUCUGAGAGGAUGAUCAGCCACACUGGGACUGAGACACGGCCCAGACUCCUACGGGAGGCAGCAGUGGGGAAUAUUGGACAAUGGGCGAAAGCCUGAUCCAGCAAUGCCGCGUGAGUGAUGAAGGCCUUAGGGUUGUAAAGCUCUUUUACCCGGGAUGAUAAUGACAGUACCGGGAGAAUAAGCACCGGCUAACUCCGUG